GGCCCCGUAGCUCAGCAGGAUAGAGCGUCGGUUUCCUAAACCGUGCGUCGGGGGUUCGAGUCCCUCCGGGGCCG
rnacentral:tRNA from 1 species